rnacentral:snRNA from 1 species
GCACUCUUGUUUCUCUUCAGAUCGUGUAAAUCUUUUGCCUUUUACUAAAGAUUUCCUUGCAGGGGAACAACAAGAGUGGGGGCUUAGUCGUUAGGCCAUAGAGCUUGGAAUC